AAAAGGUUCCCUCAACCGUAACUUCAGUUGUCAAAAAUAAAAUGUGACUUAAACGUUGAAGGAGAAUGCGAAGGCCGGGCCUGUGCUGACAUGUUGUAACGUUAAGUCAUAAAGGGAAACCUGAAACUGUAAGGGAGUACACCCAGCCACUCGGGGUCGGGGUCCGACCUCAGCAAACACAGGUAGCAGGGAGGGAGAUCACACAGCGGAGGGAAUUAGAAGCAGAUUGAGCUGACAGACAGGUAAUGAAAGAAGAGCAAGCUCUAAGUGCAUAAGAUGCCAUUCCAUGGAUCAUGUUUGUCUUACUGUGCAUCACUGUCACCACAAGUCCUGUGUGGAAUGAUGAAGAAGGAAUAAACCAAGCACCUGUGUCUAAUCUGAGUGGAGUCUUAAAGUUGGAAAGAAAUGAAAAGAUGGCCAGGACCUAGCACCUACAUUUCUGGCUGUUUGACACUUAUUAACUGGAAGGAAGACAUUCAUCAUUGGGCAGGAGGCAAUCCAGUGCUGAGCUUAGAACCCAGAUUCUUAAGUUAGCCUGCUUGACUUCAAAUCCUAGUUUGUGUCUCAUACAAACUGAGUGCUCUUGGGUAAAUUACUUAAUCUGGCUGUGCCUUAGUUUCCUCAUUUGUUGAGUGGGGAUAGUAACAGGACCUAUCACAUAGUGAUGAUAUGAUUAUUAAAUGACAACACAAAUAAAGCAUUUAGAAUGGUGCCUGGCAUAUGGGAAGCAAUCAAUGUGUAUUAACUAUAGUUAUUAUUAGUGCUUUAUGAAGACAUGAGAACAACUCCUGGCAAUAGUCACUGUAUUACUCUCAACCAGUAUUACAUAA